UUGAAAUUAAUUUAAUUAAUCCAAUUAAGAGUUUAAUUGGAGAAUUGAUAAGUUUUUGGACUUAAUUAAGCUUGAAAUUAAUUUAAUUAAUCCAAUCAGGGACUUAAUCGAAGAAAUAUCAAAGUUUGGGGUUUAAUUGGGGUCCAAAUUGCAAACAUUAAAAUCCAAGGACUAGAUUGAAAAUGACACGGAAAUGCAAGGUUCUAAUUACAUUUUAACCAGGGACUUGAUUGCCAAAUUACAAGAAUUACAGGGACCAAAUUGAAGACAGCCUUUAGAACUGGAAAACGGAGUCGUUUUGCAGCGACUGUUCACUGUCUUCUUCCUCCGUUUCAUCAGUUUCCAGCCAACGCUUGAGUUUCAUCAUUGAAGGCAACCAGUUACAGGGCAUUUAAGUGGCGACCGUUACAGCGCCGAUCGAUCUUUGGCCUUAUAAAAGCUGGGCAAAGGCAACCUCGCGACAGGACCAGGGGGUUGGAGAGUUGGAGAGAGGAGAGGACCGAAAAAGCCACUGGUGAUCACAGAACCGGGGAGAUUAGAAAAAAAAGACUUUCGUUCCUCUGUUUCUUCUCAAAGAAACAGAGGAGGCUAAAGAAGAAAACCACGAGCAGAGGAAAAAACCAGCGAAGACAGGGGAGAGACAGAGCGGGACAGAGGAGAAAAACCCAGCAAAAAACCGAGAGAAAGAAAAUACACAGCCAAAAACAAAACAGAGAAAACGCAAGCAUAGAAACCCAGAAAACCCAACAUUAACAUCACAAUCUCCUCGAUUCCCCCUGCAAAUCAGAAAAGAAAAAAAACCAAGCAACAAGCCGUGACCUUCAUCAUCACCGAAACAAGAGGAAAACAAAAGGGGACAGUCAUACACAGUCAAGAGCGAAAUCACUCUGCUGCCAGCCUCCUCACGAUCUCCAGAAGCAGGUAAGCCAUUCUCAUUCUCUCUUCAUUCUUAUUUGAAUUGUGCAAAUGCAAGAACUGUGCGAAGGUAAUUUAAUUACCUUCGCACAGUUGCUGCACGCGUGAAAUUGCUUCACGCGUGCAGUUGUAAUUAAAACAAGCCAGGCCACUGGCUUGGGCCAGUGGCCGGGCUGGCUGGGCCCAGUCCAGCCCCUUUUGGGCUGCACUGGGCCCGGCCCAAAAAAUAUAGAAAAAAAAAAGUUUAGAAAAAUUUUUUGCAUGUCUUAAUUUUUUUUUUUAGGGCCACGAAUAUUUACCAACGCCAGAGUUGGAUUUAUUCGUGGUUGAAUUUUUAAAUUUAGAAUUAUGUGGUGGAAUAUUUACCGACGCCAGAGUUGGAUUUAUUCGUGGUCGAAUUUUUAAUUGAAAUUAUUUGUGGUGAAAUUUUUACCAACGCCAGAGUUGGAAUUAUUCGAGCUCUAAUAUUCACUGGCGCCAGAGUCAGGAAUAUUAUAAACAAAUCAUCAUAGCAUAAAUUAAUAAAUAUUUGGCAAUUUAAGACAAAACCAACAAUGCAGUCUGCCUUAGGCAGAACGUUUAAGGGGUGAUAAUAUCUUCCCUUUUACGUAACCAAUCCCGAGCCAUAGAAUCUCUGUUGACCAGUUAGGGUUCCUAGUGACCAUAAUACUAGGUGGCGACUCCUCAAACAAGACUUUUUUCCUAAAAGAACCAAUGUCAGAUAUCUGUUCUUUUUCAUAAUUCAAGAGAAUUUUUUUAGGGUCGCCGCGAUGUCGGGUGCGACAAAUGGCGACUCCACUGGGGACCUAGGAUUAAGCUUUGUCUUUUGUCUUAUUAUUGCUAUUUUUUUAUUUGUUUUUGUUGUGUUUAUUUGUUUAUUUUCUUGUAUUUACUGCUUUAGCAUGCAUCCUUAUUUAUGUUGUCAUGCAUCACUUUGAGAGCACACACUUACAACCUAGAUAAGUGGGAAAGUAACGGUACCCCAAUGGCUUUAGCCUGGGUAAGACUCGUGAAACCAUCCAACUCUCGCUUGAUUGUUUACUUGGAAGUGGUUGAUAUGCCAAACUGAUAUUACUCAGGGCCUCUAUCUUCACACUACUUGUAAGCCUCAUAUCGACCUUUCAUGGACGAUCACUGAGCAUGCGAAAGACCCUUUGAACUAGAUAAUGACCAACCCCUUGAUGCACUCAGUAAUUAGGAUCUUCCAACUAGGUUGUCACCCCGUGAAGGGCAAGUUCGCAUUUCAUACGCAUUUUUUUUUUUAUUAUUGCUUUAGCAUUUUUGCAUAAUUGCAUGAUUUACAUUUAGCAGGUUGAAAUAUAGGUCCCCAUUGAAACUCAUUUAUAACACUCGUUCGAGAAAAAGACAAAUGGAAAAUGAAGAAAGAGCCCAGUUGGAAGCCCAACAUCAAAAAGAGGUGGACAAUCUUAAGGAAGAAGUCGCAAGGCUUACUAGUCUACUCGAGCAGGCCUUGAGAGAUAAAUCCGGAAAAGCAACACUUAUAGCUCAGCCUGAGAUAUGCAUGUAACUCAUUUCGAUCCACAUAAUCUGGGGGCAAAUAGGGAGUCAUCUGAAUUUCAACAAGCUAUGCAUUUCCAGCCAGCAUACCCUCAAGAAUUUCAUCUACCACUGAUUCACCGAGAAAGAAUCUCAAAAGGGCAAGAUGGUGAGAAGAAAGGAUUUGGAAAAAUGGACUACCCUAGAGAAGAGGAUAAGGGCAGUUGAGGGAAACCAUUUGUGUGACUGAUGAAAGCUGUCAAUAUGUGUUUGGUGCCCAACGUUGUCAUUCCAAAAAGUUUAGAGUGCCAGAAUUUUCAAAUAUACAGGAACUCAAUGCCCUAUAACUCAUCUCAAAGCAUACUGCAACAAAAUGGCUGAGGUGGUGAUGAUGAGAAACUGCUGAUUCAUUUUUUCAAGACAGCUUGAGUGACGCUGCCCUCACUUGGUAUAUGCGGUUGGACAAUACCAAGGUUAAAAAAUGGAAGGACUUAGUUGAUGCUUCAUGAGGCAAUAUAAGUUCAAUAUAGACGUGGGUCCUGAUCGGUUAAGCUUGCAAGCUAUGGAGAAGAACAACAAGGAGUCCAUAAGAGAAUAUGCCCGGAGAUGGAGCGAGGUAGCUGCACAAGUUAAUCCUCCCAUGUUGGAAAAAGAGAUGAUCAGUUUAUUUUCCAAUACAUUUAAAGCUCCGUACUUUGAAUACUUGGUUUAGAAGCUCUGCACAACAUUUCACUGACCUGGUUGUUAUAGCUGAGAGGAUUGAACAAGCCAUGGGUUAGGUAAGAUUGCUAACCCGACUGAGAAGAACAGUUUCACUGAAGGUGGUUGCCAAGACACUUAUCAUUCCUAUAGUUAAUUGCUUCACACCGACUCAGAAAUCAACUAUCUUGAAGAUAAAGCUAUGGUGAUAUUAGGUCAAGAAUGAUCUACAUGACUUCAAUUGAUUGUUGAAAAGAUGCCCUUGUCAAGGAGAAUGAAUGAUUGAUUCAGAAAUUCCAACCAAUGAUCACUAAAUGUUUAGCCCCUUUAUAUGUUAUCAUGCCAGUAUUCACAGCCCAAGAUGUUGUCAUAAGUUCUUUCUUGUUGAACUUAUUUUCCAAGUUUCAAUGAAUAAUGAGUUUUCAUUCAAUCAUGUUUAUGAUUAUCAUUAUUCAUUUUUUUCUGAGAGAGUUUUCUUACAAAGAUUCACAAACACAUCUUUGAAGCCUUGUGCGAUCUCAUAGACGCAAUUCAUCUCUUUUAACAAAAAUCAGUUUCCUUAUUGGAGUUUGAAAAAAUUGAUCUGGCAUUUUGAUUUCAAAAAAUAAUUUGAUGUUAUUCAAAAAACGAUAUUUUUGACAUUCUACUUGUAGAAUGACAAUUGAAUCAAGCAACUCCUUCAUAAAGGUGACCAAACUCUAAAAAAAAAGAAAGAAAAAGAAAUAAAUAAACACCCUUACCCCAUGACUCUUGAAACAUGUGUUUUUAAAUGCAUGAAUAAUGGUAUGUAGUGAACUCGCAUGACUUAUGAAAUACAUCUUUGCAAAGACCAAACCAUCAUACUGGAUGAGGUCAAAGUUUAUUGAUCUUAACUGCUUGCGCUUGAAAUGAGGAAAGGCCAUCUUUGUUAUUCCUUUCACAUUCUGAAAUAAAUACAUCCUUUGCGAUCCCUUUUUGAGCUUAAAUAAUUUUUCUUUCAAAAAAAAAAUCCCGACUAAGAUCACACCCCACACUAGGGGCAAGUGAAAUUUCAAUGAUCAAGAAAAAUGAUAAAGCCGUGAGAAAGCCAAAAGGCAAAAGAGCCCAAGAAACUCAAAUGCUAGGGGGCAUGCCCAAAUCACAAGAAAAAGUGAUAACUAAGAUAAAAUGAGUAUGCUCUAGCAAAGCAAUGAAAAAGAAAAAAGAGGGGCAAAUCAAAGAAGAGCAGCAAAAGAAAUAUGAAUGAUGCCAAAAUUCAAACUAUUGAUCGUGAUCUUCAGUCUUUGAAACCCUGAAACACUCUUUGAGCCUUAUAUUCUUUUCUUUCAUAGCCAAAAACCACAGCCUACGUUACGUGCCUGUAGAAGUCCUUUCUAAUCAAGCAAGCAAGCAACCUAGAACAAUAAACAAUGCUCUCAAAAUGCAAAGAAUACUUUUUCAUAAGAUUUAUGACAUCAAGAAUAAACUACUCAUUAUUAUUCAUGCUGAUAAAAAAUAAAUGUUCAAAAAGAGACAAGUUUUUCUCAUAUAAAACCUCGAGCUUUUUUCUCGAGCCCUUCACUUUGAAACAAAAGGUCAUCUCAUGACUGAAGAUCUCAUUGCCAAACACAAGAGCAAAUAACCUUUUUUUUUUUCCAAGAAAGAAAAUAACCAAGGAGUUGCAAAGAUUUCAAUAGCAAAUUGUUUUAGAUUCACAUCGAAAUAAUUUUUGUUUUCAAAAUGCAAGAUCAAGAUUUCAAGAUUCAUUCUAGACCCAUAUUCCUUCACCAAACUGAAAAUGAGAGAAUGGCCUUCUAAAACUAUUAUUUGUCUAAGUCGCUGACAGAGCAAACUUAAGGGCAAUAACCAGUACAAGGGGGCAACAUUGUGUUUAAGGAAAAUCUAUCAUUCCUUACAACAAGAUAAAGGGGCAUUUUGGUUUAUGAAAGACAGUUUGAUCCUUUCAACAAGUGAUACCGAAUGUUUUUAGCAGUGAGACAAGGGGUAAUGAAUGAUCCUCUCAAAUUAUUUGACGAGUCAAAAAAAUCUUUAGCAAGCAAGUGGGUCACGAUGGGCACCACAAAGGCUGAGUUGUGCAAACAAAUCUGGAAAUAGAUUUACAUGGGCUAACUCGAGUGGGCUAGAAGCCAAGUGACAAAGAUGACCCGAAUCAGAGGUAGCAAGUCCUCAUCAGUCAAGCAACAAGAAGACUAAGAAGAAACGGGGGCCUAUAUUUCAAAACAGGUAAAGAUACAUGCAUAUCAUCUAAACUUCGAGACAUUGAACAAUGAGUUUUGCAAAUUUCAUAUGAGAAAAUUCCAACGAAAUCCAUCAAGUGGAAGGCCAACUUGAGAUGGCCAAGAUUGAAUUUGCUUUUGAAAAUUUUUUAUUUUUUGAGAAUUUUUCAUCCUGGGCAGGCCGCCCAUGAGAAUUAGGCCACCUGAAAAAUCUCUGUGUUUUUCCACCUUUUUCGAGUGCGCCUUUCGAGCUAUCGACCAUCAUAGGUAGUGCAUUUCAUAUCCUACCUCAAUUCAAGCGCACCUUCGAGCCCUCGUCUUAUCUUCAUUCGAGCGCGCCUUCGAGCCCUCACCUCAUUUCUUUUCGAGCGCGCAUUCGAGCCCUUGACCAUCAAAGGUAGUGCAUUUCCUAUCCUACCUCCUUUUGAGUGCGUUUUCGAGCCCUCAUUCCCUUUCGAGCGCACCUCCGAGCCCUCAUUUCCUUCAAGCUUCCAUCUUUUGGAAUAGUGCGCCUUCGAGCCCUAUCAUGUCAUUUUUUCCACCUCCUUCAAAUCUAUGUGAAUUAGACCAUUUUUGGAAAAAUCCUCGUAUUUUUUCUCACUGGGCUGGUAACCCAUUACAAUAUACCAACUGGGCAGGUAACCCAUUACAAUGUGACCAACUGGGCUAGUAACCCAUUACAAUAUACCAACUGGGCAGGUAACCCAUUACAAUGUGACCAUCUGGGUUGGUAACCCAUUACAAUAUACCAACUGGGCAGGUAACCCAUUACAAUGUGACCAACUGGGCAGGUAACCCAUUACAAUGUGACCAUCUGGGUUGGUAACCCAUUACAAUAUACCAACUGGGCAGGUAACCCAUUACAAUGUGACCAACUGGGCUGGUAACCCAUUACAAUGUGACCAACUGGGCAGGUAACCCAUUACAAUGUGACCAACUGGCUGGUAACCCAUUACAAUGUGACCAACUGGGCAGGUAACCCAUUACAAUGUGACCAUCUGGGUGGUAACCCAUUACAAUAUACCAACUGGGCAGGUAACCCAUUACAAUAUACCAACUGGGCAGGUAACCCAUUACAAUGUGACCAACUGGGCAGGUAACCCAUUACAAUAUACCAAACUGGGCAGGUAACCCAUUACAAUAUACCAACUGGGCAGGUAACCCAUUACAAUGUGACCAACUGGGCUGGUAACCCAUUACAAUAUACCAACUGGGCAGGUAACCCAUUACAAUGUGACCAACUGGGCUGGUAACCCAUUACAAUAUACCAACUGGGCAGGUAACCCAUUACAAUAUACCAACUGGGCAGGUAAACCCAUUACAAUGUGACCAACUGGGCUGGUAACCCAUUACAAUAUACCAACUAGGCAGGUAACCCAUUACAAUGUGACCAUCCUAAAAAAAAAUCAUCCUCGUAAUUUUAUUUUUCACUCAUCGGGCAGGUCGCCUGGAAAAACUAGACCAUUCGCGAAAUCCUUCUCGUUUCUUUUAUCAUCGGGCAAGUUGCCCAAAACAAUUUGAUAAAAAAAACAAAAAAAAAAACGAAAAAGGUGGAUCGUCUUCCAAAUGGCUUGUUUCUUGAUUUCUACAUCUCUUUGUAAAGGUCGUGUGUCAAUCUACUGUUGUCGAAGUUUUCAAGAAAAAGAAAAAAAGAAGCAAAAGUCCUCUCUGUAUCUACUUUUCUUUAUAAAUUUACUACACAAAGCUAAAAGAAAAUAAAAUUUUCUAAUAUCUUUGCAUAGUAAAUAUUAUAAAGAGGGGGCAACUGUCAUAACCCAAUUUUUGACCAUUCUUAUUUUUAUUAUUAUUAUUUUAUUUACUGAAAAGGAAAAAAAAAUGAUGAUGAUAAGAAAAAUAAUAAUGAUGAAAAAAAGUAAAAUGAAAUAAAUGAAGAAUGAAUUAAAAUUUGGGGGAAUCAUGGUUGGAAGUUUUGGGGUUUAAUGAAACUUUGUAAUUAAUCCAAUCAAGGGUUUAAUUAGAAAAUUGAUAAGUUUUGAGACUUAAUUGAGCUUGGAAUUAAUUUAAUUAAUCCAAUUAAGGGUUUCAUUGGAGAAUUGAUAAGUUUUGAGACUUAAUUGAGCUUGAAAUUAAUUUAAUUAAUCCAAUUAAGAGUUUAAUUGGAGAAUUGAUAAGUUUUUGGACUUAAUUAAGCUUGAAAUUAAUUUAAUUAAUCCAAUCAGGGACUUAAUCGAAGAAAUAUCAAAGUUUGGGGUUUAAUUGGGGUCCAAAUUGCAAACAUUAAAAUCCAAGGACUAGAUUGAAAAUGACACGGAAAUGCAAGGUUCUAAUUACAUUUUAACCAGGGACUUGAUUGCCAAAUUACAAGAAUUACAGGGACCAAAUUGAAGACAGCCUUUAGAACUGGAAAACGGAGUCGUUUUGCAGCGACUGUUCACUGUCUUCUUCCUCCGUUUCAUCAGUUUCCAGCCAACGCUUGAGUUUCAUCAUUGAAGGCAACCGUUACGGGCAUUUAAGUGGCGACCGUUACAGCGCGAUCGAUCUUGGCCUUAUAAAAGCUGGGCAAAGGCAACCUCGCGACAGGACCAGGGGGUUGGAGAGUUUGGAGAGAGGAGAGGACCGAAAAAGCCACUGGUGAUCACAGAACCGGGGAGAUUAGAAAAAAAAGACUUUCGUUCCUCUGUUUCUUCUCAAAGAAACAGAGGAGGCUAAAGAAGAAAACCACGAGCAGAGGAAAAAAACCAGCGAAGACAGGGGAGAGACAGAGCGGGACAGAGGAGAAAAACCCAGCAAAAAACCGAGAGAAAGAAAAUACACAGCCAAAAACAAACAGAGAAAACGCAAGCAUAGAAACCCAGAAAACCCAACAUUAACAUCACAAUCUCCUCGAUUCCCCCUGCAAAUCAGAAAAGAAAAAAAAACCAAGCAACAAGCCGUGACCUUCAUCAUCACCGAACAAGAGGAAAACAAAAGGGGACAGUCAUACACAGUCAAGAGCGAAAUCACUCUGCUGCCAGCCUCCUCACGAUCUCCAGAAGCAGGUAAGCCAUUCUCAUUCUCUCUUCAUUCUUAUUUGAAUUGUGCAAAUGCAAGAACUGUGCGAAGGUAAUUUAAUUACCUUCGCACAGUUGCUGCACGCGUGAAAUUG
rnacentral:lncRNA from 1 species